AUAAAUUUGUAAAUAACUAAAAAAAAGAGCUAGGAGCUAAAGCCCAAUUUUCGGAGCUAAAUAGAAAAAUAAGGAGCUAAAUCUAGUUCCAAAAGCACCA